rnacentral:lncRNA from 1 species
GUGAAGGUGGUUUUGAGAUAACGGAGAAGCGAGAGAAUGAAGCGGAGGUAGUAGUAGUAGUAGCAGCCAUUUUUGCUGCGAGCUUGUAGUUUUCAGUGAACAAGAGGAAGAAGAUAGCGUUUUUUCUAACUGUAAACGACGUCGUUAUGAGUGAUUUGCGUCCUACGUGUACAUUUGUCGAUGGCUGAAUAAUGAAUAACUGAAU